CCUACGGGAGGCAGCAGUGAGGAAUAUUGGUCAAUGGACGCGAGUCUGAACCAGCCAAGUAGCGUGAAGGAUGACUGCCCUAUGGGUUGUAAACUUCUUUUAUAUGGGAAUAAAAUGUUCCACGUGUGGGUUUUUGUAUGUACCUUAUGAAUAAGGAUCGGCUAACUCCGUGCCAGCAGCCGCGGUAAUACGGAGGAUCCGAGCGUUAUCCGGAUUUAUUGGGUUUAAAGGGAGCGUAGGUGGGUUGUUAAGUCAGUUGUGAAAGUUUGCGGCUCAACCGUAAAAUUGCAGUUGAUACUGGCAGGCUUGAGUACAGUAGAGGUAGGCGGAAUUCGUGGUGUAGCGGUGAAAUGCUUAGAUAUCACGAAGAACUCCGAUUGCGAAGGCAGUUCACUGGACUGCAACUGACGCUGAGGCUCGAAAGUGUGGGUAUCAAACAGGAUUAGAUACCCGUGUAGUC
rnacentral:rRNA from 1 species